GGUCAAGCGAACAAGUGCAUGUGGUGGAUGCCUUGGCGAUCACAGGCGAUGAAGGACGCGGUAGCCUGCGAAAAGCCCCGGGGAGCUGGCAAACAAGCUUUGAUCCGGGGAUGUCCGAAUGGGGAAACCCACUCCGUAUGGAGUAUCCAUGACUGAAUACAUAGGUCAUGUGAAGCGAACGCGGUGAACUGAAACAUCUAAGUAACCGCAGGAAAAGAAAUCAACCGAGAUUCCCAAAGUAGUGGCGAGCGAAAUGGGAUGAGCCUUGUACUCUUUAUUCGUAUUGUUAGCCGAACGCUCUGGAAAGUGCGGCCAUAGCAGGUGAUAGCCCUGUAGGCGAAAACAGUAUGAAAGAACUAGGUGUACGACAAGUAGGGCGGGACACGUGAAAUCCUGUCUGAAGAUGGGGGGACCAUCCUCCAAGGCUAAAUACUCGUGAUCGACCGAUAGUGAACCAGUACCGUGAGGGAAAGGCGAAAAGAACCCCGGGAGGGGAGUGAAAUAGAUCCUGAAACCGCAUGCAUACAAACAGUCGGAGCCUCGUAAGGGGUGACGGCGUACCUUUUGUAUAAUGGGUCAGCGACUUACGUUCAGUAGCAAGCUUAACCGUAUAGGGCAGGCGUAGCGAAAGCGAGUCCGAAUAGGGCGUUCAGUUGCUGGGCGUAGACCCGAAACCAGGUGAUCUAUCCAUGGCCAGGAUGAAGGUGCGGUAACACGUACUGGAGGUCCGAACCCACUAACGUUGAAAAGUUAGGGGAUGAGCUGUGGAUAGGGGUGAAAGGCUAAACAAACCUGGAAAUAGCUGGUUCUCUCCGAAAACUAUUUAGGUAGUGCCUCGUGUCUCACCUUCGGGGGUAGAGCACUGUCAUGGUUGGGGGGUCUAUUGCAGAUUACCCCGUCAUAGCAAACUCCGAAUACCGAAGAGUGCAAUCACGGGAGACAGACAUCGGGUGCUAACGUCCGGUGUCAAGAGGGAAACAACCCAGACCGCCAGCUAAGGUCCCCAAAUAUGGCUAAGUGGGAAACGAAGUGGGAAGGCUAAAACAGUCAGGAGGUUGGCUUAGAAGCAGCCACCCUUUAAAGAAAGCGUAAUAGCUCACUGAUCGAGUCGUCCUGCGCGGAAGAUGUAACGGGGCUAAGCCAUAUACCGAAGCUGCGGAUGCGUGCUUGCACGCAUGGUAGGAGAGCGUUCCGUAAGCCUGCGAAGGUGCCUUGUAAAGGGUGCUGGAGGUAUCGGAAGUGCGAAUGCUGACAUGAGUAGCGAUAAAGGGGGUGAAAGGCCCCCUCGCCGUAAGCCCAAGGUUUCCUACGCAACGUUCAUCGGCGUAGGGUGAGUCGGCCCCUAAGGCGAGGCAGAAAUGCGUAGCUGAUGGGAAGCAGGUCAAUAUUCCUGCACCGUCGUUAGAUGCGAUGGGGGGACGGAUCGCGGAAGGUUGUCCGGGUGUUGGACGUCCCGGUCGCUGCAUUGGAGAAGGCGCUUAGGCAAAUCCGGGCGCGGAAUUCAAGGGUGUGGCGCGAGCGACUUCGGUCGCGAAGCAAUUGGAAGUGGUUCCAAGAAAAGCCUCUAAGCUUCAGUCUAACGAUGACCGUACCGCAAACCGACACAGGUGGGCGAGAUGAGUAUUCUAAGGCGCUUGAGAGAACUCGGGAGAAGGAACUCGGCAAAUUGGUACCGUAACUUCGGGAUAAGGUACGCCCUUGUAGCUUGACCAGCCUGCGCUGGAAGGGUGAAGGGGUUGCAAUAAACUGGUGGCUGCGACUGUUUAAUAAAAACACAGCACUCUGCAAACACGAAAGUGGACGUAUAGGGUGUGACGCCUGCCCGGUGCCGGAAGAUUAAAUGAUGGGGUGCAAGCUCUUGAUUGAAGUCCCGGUAAACGGCGGCCGUAACUAUAACGGUCCUAAGGUAGCGAAAUUCCUUGUCGGGUAAGUUCCGACCUGCACGAAUGGCGUAACGAUGGCCACACUGUCUCCUCCCGAGACUCAGCGAAGUUGAAGUGUUUGUGAUGAUGCAAUCUACCCGCGGCUAGACGGAAAGACCCCAUGAACCUUUACUGUAGCUUUGCAUUGGACUUUGAACCGAUCUGUGUAGGAUAGGUGGGAGGCUAUGAAACCGGAACGCUAGUUUCGGUGGAGCCGUCCUUGAAAUACCACCCUGGUUUGUUUGAGGUUCUAACCUUGGUCCGUGAUCCGGAUCGGGGACAGUGCAUGGUAGGCAGUUUGACUGGGGCGGUCUCCUCCCAAAGGGUAACGGAGGAGUACGAAGGUACGCUAGGUACGGUCGGAAAUCGUGCUGAUAGUGCAAUGGCAUAAGCGUGCUUAACUGCGAGACCGACAAGUCGAGCAGGUGCGAAAGCAGGUCAUAGUGAUCCGGUGGUUCUGUAUGGAAGGGCCAUCGCUCAACGGAUAAAAGGUACUCUGGGGAUAACAGGCUGAUACCGCCCAAGAGUUCAUAUCGACGGCGGUGUUUGGCACCUCGAUGUCGGCUCAUCUCAUCCUGGGGCUGUAGCCGGUCCCAAGGGUAUGGCUGUUCGCCAUUUAAAGAGGUACGUGAGCUGGGUUUAAAACGUCGUGAGACAGUUUGGUCCCUAUCUGCCGUGGGCGUUGGAUAUUUGAAGGGGGCUGCUCCUAGUACGAGAGGACCGGAGUGGACGAACCUCUGGUGUACCGGUUGUGACGCCAGUCGCAUCGCCGGGUAGCUAUGUUCGGAAGAGAUAACCGCUGAAAGCAUCUAAGCGGGAAACUCGCCUUAAGAUGAGAUAUCCCUGGAGGCUUGACCUCCUUGAAGGGUCGUUCGAGACCAGGACGUUGAUAGGUCGGGUGUGUAAGCGCAGUAAUGCGUUCAGCUAACCGAUACUAAUUGCCCGUAAGGCUUGAUCCU
rnacentral:rRNA from 1 species